rnacentral:lncRNA from 1 species
UCGUGUGUACCAAGCUGCCAGCUUGCAGUUCUCGGGGCUUGGCUCCUGUAGUACCUGCGAUCCCAGCACCGACGCCAGCUACACCCAGCUGCCGCCUGAACAUGGAUUCUGCUAGCCAAGAUAUCAACCUGAAUUCUCCUAACAAAGGUGUGCUGUCUGAUUUUAUGACUGAUGUCCCUGUUGACCCAGGUGUGGUCCACCGGACUCCAGCUGUAGAGGGCCUGACCGAGGUGGAGGAAGAAGAGCUCCGGGCUGAGCUUGCUAAGGUGGAAGAGGAAAUUGUCACUCUGCGCCAGGUGCUGGCAGCCAAAGAGAGGCACUGUGGAGAGCUGAAACGGAGACUGGGCCUCUCCACAUUAGGGGAGCUGAAGCAGAACCUGUCUAGGAGCUGGCAUGAUGUGCAGGGCUCUACUGCCUACAAGAAGACUCAGGAAACUCUUUCACAGGCAGGGCAGAAAACAUCAGCUGCUCUGUCCACCAUGGGCUCUGCCAUCAGCAGGAAGCUCGGAGAUAUGAGGGCUCAUCCGUUCUCACAAUCCUUUAGCAGCUACUCCAUCCGACACUCGAUAAGUAUGCC